AGGGGGAAAUUUGGCAUAAGAACUUUAGAAAACAAUGUAUUUUUAUAAUUCUAUGUAGACUUUUAAUCAUAUCAAGGUAAUGUGUGCUUCAAGUCAUGUGUUUGUAUGUUUUUAUCAUAUAUAAGUGAAUUCAAGAGUUAUUCAAUUCUUUCUUACUAUGCAGCAGAGAAAUAAGUGAUCUGCAAGCAUGUGUUCGUUAAGUUCAUUGUAUAUUUAAUAUGAACUGGAUAAUAUUGUUCUAUCAACCCCACCUUGGGAAGUGCUCAGCUGCAGCGAUUAAAGUCAACCUUAGUUAAUUUAAGAAGAAGUAGAUCUACUGUAGAUUGUAGGGCUUACGUAAUUGUUAACAAGACUCGAAGAACAUUUCAGGAUUAAUGUUGAGGUUGCACAUUAUGGACGAGUCAUCAAGGGGUGGAUUAUUCUUCCCCGGUAGGAUAUUUGCCUGUUCAGCUGAGACUACACUGACAGAGCUGCUAGCACAGAACCCUGUCACGUUCUCAGGAUCCAGACUGAAGCAGUGCUUGCUGCCGAGCUCCUACCUCCGCCUCACUGUCCCUGCUCUUGCCCAUACUCAUGCUUCUAAGUAAUAAGCAUUUUUCAUCUCAGGAAUCAUGGCUACAGGAAGUUUUGGGAAAUCUUUAGCUUUAGCCUUUGCGCACUAUAGAAAUAGAUGUAGGAAUAGAUGUUUUACGAACCCUCCUACAGUGUCUACUAUGGACACAAACCUUUGCUAGAAUGGAUGACACUCAGAAACAUAAUGAAACCUGUGCAUGUAAUUGUAAGUUGUCUUGUGGCCACAUCAUGAAAAUAAACAGAGGCAGGUGAUAUUACAGAUGAUAAGCUUUUACUUAAUUUCAUGUAUUAUGGUCAUUAUCAUUUUUACAAAUAAUUCAUAUAAAAUUAUAAAUGACUUGCUUUAUGUUAUGUUUUCCUGUGCAGUCCUCAGAAUUAGAUGCAUAUUAUACAGAAAUGACAGUAGUCAUUUCUACAGCCAGACUUCCAGCACCCCUGAAGCCCUAGGCCUAGUGGCUCCCACAUUGAACAGCACAAAUAAAUGGCUGAAGUGUUUGUAUUUUGUGCACAAUGGAGAUGCCAGUUGAGGCAAUUAUUUUUUAUGCAUUAACUUGUAAGUAUGUGUAUGUUGUCCUGUGCAGAAUCUCAGAGGGUUCAACAUUAAGGACUUUGCUGAUAAGCAACGCGUGUUAUAUGCACCACCAUGCCUGUAAUAAGCACUCAGCACCUAUUUUUACUGCAUAAUUGAUUGAAUGCGGUGGUGGGUAAGUAAAUGAAUGGAAAUAAAUUAACAGUGGUGAUUGGCUAUUAGAAGUGCUCUAAAUUAAGCAGUUAAAUUAAUAACCUCACAGAAGGAGUGUCAAUUACUCUAACUUUAUGCAAUUCUUUUUGCUUCUUGCUGUUGAUUCCAGCCAGACAUAAUGUAAAUUACUUGCACAAUGUAUGUUAUUUUAUUUCUUCAAUACAGUGCCUACAAUGAAACACAGACAUAUUAAAAAUGAUUUCUUGGUAAGAUUCAGGCUUACGAACAUCUGAGUUUAUCAUGAUAGCCGAGAACAGCAAAGACCCUACUGAUUUACUGUGUCUUAUCAGAUACUCUAAUCCUUAAUGAUAGAGGGAUUUAAAAGCAGCACAUUAGAUAAUUCUCCCGGUCAUUCCAGGGCAUCCUACAUCUGUUAUUAAAGAGCAGUUCAGGAAGAACAUAAGAAGCCUGAACUGCUGCAGGUGCCAGAGCUGAGACUGACUUCACUUCCCAUACCCACACACUUGAAUUUACUGUGCACCUCUGCUGUUUCUGGUAGUACAGAACAAUUUCUAGAAAAUAUCCACAAUUUUUAAGUGAACUUCCGGGUCAUGAAUUUCUGACUAUUUGAUAUUUUGUAUUAUAGAUCUUGUGGAUUUCUAUAGAUGCAAAAGUGCACAGUUAAAUUUGCAUAUUAAAAUGUUUUUAAAGGCUAUAAGGAAAAGUCAAAACAAAGCCCAUAGUAAACGGAGAGACAAAGUAAAGAAGUACAUGACUUAAAUGAUUCCUUGACAUUUUGCAGUUGUGUGGCUCUAAUCACUGCCCUUGACAGUGACCCAGACAUUUAGACAGGCAGGCUUCUCAUCAGCUCCACAGGGCGUGCUCGAAGUAUCCUUGUUUGUUUCCUAUUAAGGAAAUAAUCUUCCCUUAGAUAUUUUAAGGUGUGCAUUCAGGACAGGAUAUAGGAUAUUUAUUCUUUUUAUAAUUCAAUGAAAAACAUUAUUGAAUGAGCCAAGUUUGGCGGUACGUGCCUGUAAUCUGAGCACGCGGGAGACUGAGGCAGGAGGGCAGGAGGAUUGCCACGAGUUUGAGGCCAGCUGAGGCUGCAUAAUGAAUUCAAAGCCAGCCUGGACUACAGAGAGAGAGAGACCUUGUCUCAAAAAAUUAGAGAAUGAGAAAAUUAACUAAUUUAUAAAACUAUUAUGAUGUACAUUCUAUGUAUCAGGCACUGUUGGUUGAGGUGGGUAAUAAAAUAGUAUUGAAUGAGAUAUACUCCCUGUCAUCAAAGUGAAAACAGUUUUUAAAAAGUAGACAAAUAUUUGGAUAUUAUAGUAUAGAUUGAAUAUUAAAAUUGAUGAAUAUAAUUUUAUGGAACCAAGUAGAAAAAAUAUAAAACUUGGAAUUGUGAUAGUGUUGUUAAAUAGCAGUCAGAUGAGUUGCAUAUUAAACAAUACGUGAGAAUUUGCUGGUGAAGUUGAAAAGUAUUUUAAAAAUGUAGGUAAAAUUGGGAAUAUUAGAGAGCACUUCAUGUUCAAGGAGCUCUAAAAUGUUUAAGAUUAGCAUUUGAUAUUAAUGAAGCAACAGAUAGACCAGGAGAAAGCAUAUGGAAGUUUAAAAAAAAGACAAAGAAGCAAUACUGAUUCUAAUGCAUUUUCUGAUAUGUAAUUGCAAAAUAACUCCUGUUCACAGGAUCAAAUGUUCAACAUCAUUGGUCAUUUGAGAAAUGCAAAUUAAAACAGCGCUGAGGUUCCAUCUCACUCCAGAAAGAAUGACUAUCAUCAAGAAAUCAACCAAUCGUAAGGUGUGCAAAUAUAGGAUCAAAGGUUUUGUGACUGCAUUUCUUCUCGUGGUGAGCUUGGUGACCUAUGACAGAGGAGAUGACUGAUGGAAGAAGGCUCUUGAUGAGAGGAAGUGAUCCAACAAAGAUGAAAGACACUUGGUUAAGUUUUGCUCAGAAAGGGGAGUCGUCUUUAUAUAACAGCAAAGAAAGGAAAUUCACAAUCAACAAAUCUGUGAUCUUUGGUCAGUUGCUUUCAGACCAGUGGGAACUUGCCAGCCUCAGCUAAAGGGUACAUAGAGAUAAGACCUUAGCAAUUUAUGUUGCCUCAAAGAAUUCUGGGAAAGAAGUUAAGACAUAAAAGCUUCCUGUAAAAUAGAUGGUUACUGACUGGGUAGUUCUUAUAAUAAAAGUUGACUGGGGAUGAAGUAUGGGCUAAAAGACAGUUUGCAAUUUGGAUGAUUUGUAACUCGUUGAAGACCAUACCCAAAAUGUGAUCAUUCACUCUUUCACCUGUUCAUCAUUUGUAGGUUGGCAAGGAAAAUGAGCAGGUGCUUCAAAAAGACACAGCCUAAUGACCAAAAAUCAUACAGAAAAAUCUAACCUUCCUGUUGUCCAUUUCUCCCAUAUUCUAGGAAAAUUUAGCUUUUUCUCUACUAUACUAGCAAGACUUUGUUUUAGUCCCCAUUCCUCAGGAAUUCUACCUUUGGGGAGGAAGAGUAUUUUGUUGAGACAGGAACAUACAAUGACGACAGUUUGGUCAUGACAUUAAAGGCAAUUUUUAUGACAAAAAGUUGAAGAAUGCUUAGAGGCCAUGCAUUUUUGGAGUCCUGUGGAUUGCACAGUGGCACAGCGCUGAAGGUGUGACCUUAAUGGAAACUGACAUCAUUCUAGCCAGACCCACUGAGGGUUGGAAAUACUGAUAGGGAAACUUCAGCCACGCAGAAGAAGCCUGAGGUGAUAACUUCCUACAACAAAACUUAAGUUCUAUUUUCCAGAGCAAGGAAUUCAGAAUGCCGAGCACAUACAACCUGCAGAUUCAGAUUACACAGAAAACUCAAGUGCAACAUGAAGAAGAGAAUACCCUAUUGUUUGGUUUUGCCUUGUUUUUGCAUCGGUUGUGGAUCAUCCUGAGGAAAAACGGAUAUGCAAAAUACUGCACACAUGUAAUGCGUGGUAUUUGAUGAAUGUGAACACUUGCAAAUACUCAUGACACCAUUGCCACAGUGGAGGGAAUAGAGAUUAAUGCUGUUAAAAAAAAGGAGGAGAAUCAGGGGAGACACGCCACAGCUCUGUGUACAUUGUUGGCAUCAGUGUGUGAUUUCUGCAAGCUUCACAGCUAAGGGCAUCUCUAGGAUCAGAGGAAAAGCACGGCUCCAAGAGACCCAGUGCUCGAAUUUGUUGAUCCAUGUGGACCCCAGCGGACUUGCAGCAGGGAAAGUAGGCUAGAAGAAGAAUUUGGAGUCUUUCCCCUUCCCUAAAUGGAUGCCUUUGGGAGUCAAAGGACGGAAGCUUUUCGUGGCGAUGCUGGGACCUCAUGCUUGCUUCAGUUGCAUGUACACCGACCGGGGACGGGGACUGUCCCCGUGCUGAGUCACGGUCUGAGGAGAACACACAGAUGGGUCGUCUCUCCUUUUUGUGGUUGAUACAUAGCAAUUAUGUCAUGCCUGACAUCCCGGGAGGUCAUCAUUUGGAAGAAAAAAGUACUUUUCUCUCUCUAGUAAGAUAAAAGCUGUGAUGUAUCUGGGGAAACUGAGGGCAAACACAUGCUCUUCCUCUCCUGCUUCUAGGAAUGGCUGUCUGUGUCUCCAACAUGCUGUGAACUGAGGCUUGGUUAACUACUGUCCUUUUCUUGUCUUCUGUUUCUUUUUUUUUUUUUUUUUUUUAGUUAAUAGUUUGCCUUCAUUGAAAACCAGCUUUCACUUAAUAUCCUAAUUGCAUGAUCUCAUAUGAGUGGCUGGUCACACAAUAUUUAAACAUUUUUGAACUCAAAAAUCAAAUUUUGUAACAUUACUAAUAAAGGCAACUUGAAAGAG